rnacentral:tRNA from 1 species
GGAAUGUAGCUCAGUGGUAGAGCUUUUGCCUAGCAUGUGCAAAACCUGGGCUCAAUCCCCAGCACCA